rnacentral:rRNA from 1 species
AUUGGACGCUGGCGGCAGGCCUAACACAUGCAAGUCGGGCGGUAGCACAAGGGAGCUUGCUCCCCGGGUGACGAGCGGCGGACGGGUGAGUAAUGUCUGGGAAACUGCCUGAUGGAGGGGGAUAACUACUGGAAACGGUAGCUAAUACCGCAUAACGUCUACGGACCAAAGCGGGGGACUUUCGGGCCUCGCGCCAUCAGAUGUGCCCAGAUGGGAUUAGCUAGUAGGGGGGGUAAUGGCUCACCUAGGCGACGAUCCCUAGCUGGUCUGAGAGGAUGACCAGCCACACUGGAACUGAGACACGGUCCAGACUCCUACGGGAGGCAGCAGUGGGGAAUAUUGCACAAUGGGCGCAAGCCUGAUGCAGCCAUGCCGCGUGUGUGAAGAAGGCCUUCGGGUUGUAAAGCACUUUCAGCGAGGAGGAAGGGUCCAGGUUUAAUACACCUGUUCAUUGACGUUACUCGCAGAAGAAGCACCGGCUAACUCCGUGCCAGCCGCCGCAGUAA